rnacentral:rRNA from 1 species
UGGGGAAUAUUGGGCAAUGGGCGCAAGCCUGACCCAGCAACGCCGCGUGAAGGAAGAAGGCUUUCGGGUUGUAAACUUCUUUUCUGGGGACGAAGCAAGUGACGGUACCCCAGGAAUAAGCCACGGCUAACUACGUGCCAGCAGCCGCGGUAAUACGUAGGUGGCAAGCGUUAUCCGGAUUUAUUGGGUGUAAAGGGCGUGUAGGCGGGAGUGCAAGUCAGAUGUGAAAACUAUGGGCUCAACCCAUAGCCUGCAUUUGAAACUGUACUUCUUGAGUGCUGGAGAGGCAAUCGGAAUUCCGUGUGUAGCGGUGAAAUGCGUAGAUAUACGGAGGAACACCAGUGGCGAAGGCGGAUUGCUGGACAGUAACUGACGCUGAAGCACGAAGGCGUGGGUAUCGAACAGGAUUAGAUACC